AUCCGAAUGGCUGAGUGGUCUAAAGUUACAGAUCACUGCCAUCUCACUUCUGUCUACGUGAGUUCAAAUCUCGGAUUCGGCCA